AGAGGCACAAUGAGGAGAAAUUAUAGUAGUGGUAUUUAUGAGAUUCAUAAAUCAAUGACUAAAAAUUUUAGUCCUUUUCAUUCUGAGUGCCUU
rnacentral:snoRNA from 14 species